rnacentral:misc_RNA from 1 species
GAUGAAGAACGUAGCGAAAUGCGAUAAGUAAUGUGAAUUGCAGAAUUCAGUGAAUCAUCGAAUCUUUGAACGCACCUUGCGCCCUUUGGCAUUCCGAAGGGCAUGCCUGUUUGAGUAUCAUGAACACCUCAACUCUUCAUGGUUUUCCAUGAUGAGCUUGGACUUUGGGGGUCUUGCUGGCCUGCGGUCGGCUCCUCUCAAAUGAAUCAGCUUACCAGUGUUUGGUGGGCAUCACAGGUGUGAUAACUAUCUGCGCUUGUGGUUUUCCACCAAGUAACCUUCAGCAGUGGAGGUUCACUGGAGCUCACAGACGUCUCUCCUCAGUGAGGACAGCCCUUUGAAUGUUUGAUCUCAAAUCAGGUAGGACUACCCGCUGAACUUAAGCAUAUAAAUAAGCGGAGGA